UACAGAGGGUGCGAGCGUUAAUCGGAAUUACUGGGCGUAAAGCGCAUGUAGGUGGUUUGCCAAGUCUGAUGUGAAAGCCCUGGGCUUAACCUGGGAACGGCGUUGGAAACUGGUAGACUCGAGUCGGACAGAGGGCAGUGGAAUUUCCGGUGUAGCGGUGAAAUGCGUAGAGAUCGGAAAGAACACCGGUGGCGAAGGCGACUGCCUGGGUCCAGACUGACACUGAGGUGCGAAAGCGUGGGGAGCAAACAGG
rnacentral:rRNA from 1 species